AUAUCUUUACUUGCUUUAUGUGUUAUCUGGUUAUUACAAAGGAUUUACAUGAAACUUUAAAAGGCUCAGCCCUGACCAGGCAGAGGCAGAGGUGGCACAAGAGGGAAGCAACCAAAAGGAAGUGCAGAUAAUGUCUCUCACCGCUGAUACCUGUGUCUGUGUAGAUAACUUAAUGGACAACACCUGUCGAGAUAAGUUCUCCCAGACCAAUACAAUUCCUUAUUUUCACAUCCCGCAAACGGGUUUGGGUCCUUACAGCAGUUCUUGACAGUAUCAGUGCUCUGCAGGGGAAGUGGAUCCCUGUCUUGAUGCAUUUCAGGGCUGCCUGGGGGGCUCUUCUCUCUCCCAUCUUGGAGCCUAUAGCCCUAGUGUGUGGGUUUGGUUGCUGGAGGUGCCACUUGUCUUUCAGAUGCAAUCUGGGGAGCUGUUGCCCAAGACUUUGUCACCUUGAGAUUUGGCUGCAGUGAAGCAAUCCAAGGCUACGUCUAAGAAAAGCCCUCAGAUAUUUUCUGGUCAACAGAAACAGUAUCCUAGAGGAGCAGGCAUUUGUUGAAGAUGACAAAUUAUGGAACACCUCCCGCCCAUUCCAUUGCCAGUGGCUACGACACUGCUUUGGAGAACUCCUCCUGCCACCCAGGGGAAAGAGAACAUCCUAUGGAGGAGUCUUCCCAGGCUACAAAUCCCUGUCUUACAGAGGCCAUCCACAGCAGCAUUAUUUGGGAUUGACAGGUGUGAUAGUGCUUUCUGCAUUACUGAAGUUCUUGGGGCAAAGCAUCAGUCAAGAGACCCACCCCAAGGGUGAUUCAACCACCCUGAAUUCCAGAAUCUCAUGAAGGCAGAGCUUUGGCUUGUGAUUUGGGCAAGGUCCAGCCCAGAAGUGUGGGCUGACCCAGCUUCACACUGAGUGUGGCCUCCCUGGCUCAGGUGCUCAGGUCAGGUCAGCUCAGAACUAAAAGGCUGGAACUGCCUGUACAUCUGUGGAGUCCCCCAGUGCCUGGUCUACAAACCAUAAGGGCAACCAAAUGAAUUAUAGAAUUAAACCUUUUUCCUACACACAGCUCUCAACUGAACCAAGUUUCCAGCAUCCUGCUCCUUAUUGUUGCUCCUCUCCAGAGGGAAAUUAGGGGAAAGAUGGCCAUUUCUCUGCAAAUUUCUCCCCACACACCACACACACACACCACACACACACACACACACACACACACACACAUACAGGGGGUUGUGAAAUUGCACCUUUACAGAGGGUUUUGCGACAAGCUGGGUUAAGCCCUGUUGAAAAUGGUAGGUUUAACCACUGCCCGCCCUUCUCUUCGGUGCUGGAGGAGACAGUUCAGCACAUGUUCCUGCCCAAAACAAAGGGAUAUGUAAGGUUGCCCAAGAAUUCCAAAGAUCUGGGUGGGGAGCCUUGCAGAGUUUGUUUUGGGCAGGGAUGCAUGUGAAAAAAAGGCAGAGCAGGCUGAGCAGCAGAGAUGGGGCUCGGAACAGGCUGGGAGGAAGGUGGGCAGCCUGCAGGAGCUGUGCUGGGACGAGCCCGGAGAGAGGGAUUCCAGUCCCUGAGGUUUCCUGGGGAACAAUGAAACCUCCUCUUCCAUGAGAGAGGAAAUGUGAGUUAGCAGUGGUUCAAAAGUGGGCAGCUGUGUAUUCAGGCCUGCUCAAAGCUGCGUACAAUUUUGAUUAUCUCAAGUAACAAAAAAUGGAAUAAACAUACUAGAAUCAUCAA